GCCGAUGUAGCUCAACGGUAGAGCAUUCCCUUCGUAAGGGAGUGGUUGGAGGUUCAAAUCCUCUCAUCGGCU
rnacentral:tRNA from 1 species